ACCUUACAAACCUUUAAACCCUUUACUACUAUUAAGUAAUUCUAUAACAAUAUAGAAGUUUUUAUGCUAAAACUAGUAACAAGAAAUUGAUUUUUCUCCAAAAUUUAUGUAUAAACCAAAAUGGACCCACCAUUGGUGAUUAACGUCAAUAAAACCAUUAUAGUAACACACCCAGAAAACACUAUUAUUUUUUACGUUAACCUUACACAAGUAAACUUCUGGAAAGAUUAAAAGAAAAAGAAGGAACUCGGCAAAUUUUAACCCCGCCUGUUUACCAAAAACAUCGCCUCUUGAUAAAAUAUAAGAGGUCCAGCCUGCCCAGUGAUAUUCUUAAACGGCCGCGGUACCCUGACCGUGCAAAGGUAGCAUAAUCAUUUGUUCUUUAAAUAAGGACUCGUAUCAACGGCAUUACGAGGGUUAUACUGUCUCCUUUUUCCAAUCAGUGAAACUGACCUCCCCGUGAAGAGGCGGGGAUAUAAAUACAAGACGAGAAGACCCCAUGGAGCUUUAAACCCAAUAACAACUCUUUUUACAUGAACUUUAAAAACAUAAGUGUACUGUUUAUUGGUUUUAGGUUGGGGUGACCACGGAGUAAAAAUUAACCUCCCUGACGAAUAGAUUCUAUCUUUAUCUAAGAGCAACUACUCGAAGAAUCAAAAACUUGACGCCACAUGAUCCGGCAACCGAUCAACGAACCAAGUUACCCUGGGGAUAACAGCGCAAUCCAUUUUAAGAGCUCCUAUCGACAAAUGGGUUUACGACCUCGAUGUUGGAUCAGGGUAUCCCAGUGGUGCAGCCGCUACUAAA
rnacentral:rRNA from 1 species